UGCAUCUGCAGCCCAUGAGGAUGAGAACCUCCGGGGGCAGGGAGGUUCGACUCGAGCGAAGCGAGAGAACGUUGCGCCAGCAACGGCCCGCAGGGCGAGCCACGAAGUGGCGAGUAA
rnacentral:sRNA from 1 species